AAUAUUGGACAAUGGGGGCAACCCUGAUCCAGCCAUGCCGCGUGAUUGAAGAAGAUCUUCGGUUUGUAAAGCACUUUACGUUGAGAGGAAGGUCUUUAGGCUAAUCCGCUGACGAUUUGACUUUACCAACAGAAUAAGCACCGACUAACUCUGUGACAGCAGCCGCGGUAAUACAGAUGGUGCAAGCGUUAAUCGGAAUUACUGGGCGUAAAGCGCGCGUAGGUGGUUCAGUAAGAUGGGUGUGAAAUCCCCGGGCUUAACCUGGGAACUGCUUUCAUAACUGCUGAGCUAGAGUACGGUAGAGGGUAGUGGAAUUUCCUGUGUAGCGGUGAAAUGCGUAGAUAUAGGAAGGAACACCAGUGGCGAAGGCGACUACCUGGACUGAUACUGACACUGAGGUGCGAAAGCGUGGGGAGCAAACA
rnacentral:rRNA from 1 species